ACCAGCGGCGGUAGCCCGUUGAAUGCACCAGUUUCCCAUGGAUCACUCAAGUUAAGUAACGUUGUGCAUGGUUAGUACCUGGAUGGAUGACCAUCUGGGGAAUCGCGUGCUGCUGGGU
rnacentral:rRNA from 1 species